GUGCCAGCCGCCGCGGUAAUACGUAGGUGGCAAGCGUUGUCCGGAUUUACUGGGCGUAAAGAGCGCGCAGGCGGCCGAGUAAGUCGAAUGUGAAAGCCCCCGGCUCAACUGGGGAAGGUCAUUCGAUACUGUUCGGCUUGAAGAUAGGAGAGGGAAGCGGAAUUUCAGGUGUAGUGGUGAAAUGCGUAGAUAUCUGAAGGAACACCAGUGGCGAAGGCGGCUUUCUGGCCUAUUCUUGACGCUGAGGCGCGAAAGCUAGGGGAGCGAACGGGAUUAGAUACCCCCGUAGUCC
rnacentral:rRNA from 1 species